GACCUGUUGGCCCAAUUGGAUAAGGCGCGAGCCUACGGAGCUCGAGAUUCUGGGUUCAAGUCCCAGGCAGGUCA
rfam:Klebsormidium nitens DNA, contig: KFL_1044.